rnacentral:lncRNA from 1 species
AAAUAGGUUGCGAACCGCAGGCCAGGAGGUUUGGCCGAACCCCCACCACCAGGGACCCCCGUCGUCCCCGGGACGGCCGGCCGUGGGCGCGAUGAGCCAGGUGCUGGGGAAGCCGCAGCCGGAGGAGGAGGACGACGAGGAGGAGGAUGAGCUGGUGGGGCUAGCGGACUACGGAGACGGGCCCGACUCCUCGGACGCCGAGCCGGACAGCGGGGCGGAGGAGGGAGGAUCUUCCCUUGUGAGUUCUUGGGAUCAAACUGGAAUCUUGCUAAUAAAAGCACGGAGUAUAUUUGUGUGGUGAGAGAAGCACACAUUCCUGAAUGAAGCCUGGCCUCUCUCCACCUGAUUCUGCUGUGCCAUGGUUUG